AUUAGGUCUGAUGCUACUGUGAAGCGGAAUGCAGCGCUUAGAUGUUAGAGCUGCUUUCACAUGCUGUGGCUACUAGGACUCAGUUUUUCUGGUUACUAGGGCACAUUAUUGGACAUACUCUGUGAGAGCUGGCAUGUGUGCAUUUUGAUGUGCAACAGUCAGUGUUCCUUCCAGUUGGCAAAAUUUGCUAUGAAAACAUUUGUUCCUCAAAUCCAAGGAGCCAAGAACCAAUGGAGCAAAACUGAGCACCACACUGCAGCAGCUGGGAAGGUGAUAACAACUAACGGCACGCUUCACGUCUUAAAGGACCUAGAAUUGUCCUGAAGACUUGAAAGCAAAUGCAACUAACAAGAAAACAAAGUAAAAGCAAGCAAGCAAGCCAGAAGAAAUAUUCAACUCCUCACUUCCCCAUUCCCCCAAUUCUGCAUUUUGUUCUAACUUUUACUAUUCCGUUUUCUUCUAUGUCUUUGUCCAAGAAUAUUGCUUAUAUUUGACUCCAGGGAUGAGUUUGGAGGGUGCUGAGUUCUCCAGUUUUACAAAACUCUAUAGCAGGAAGUGGAUUUAUUGGAGAGAUCAUGAAAUGAUAAACAGAAAAAAAAAUGAGUAGCGUUUGGUUGUAAGCACCUUGGGAACUGAUUUAUUUGUUAAAAAGAAAAAAAAAAUCUAGUAAGAGCUACAAAGAUCCCCAGGAGGUUUCAGACUAAUUUCUGUUUUUCUUCCUCAAUUGGAGCCCAUGUCAGUAAAAGGAAUGCUAGCCACACAAGCAGUCCAGUUUAAGGAGGCCUGUCUAUCCUUAUAUUUUUUCAUGCCAGACUGAAAUUCUAGCUACCAAAAUCCCUGCUGAAAGCAAAUAUAACUAGAGCAGACUCACAGUUGCCAUAUGGAAAAAAACAAUGACAUUGUUUUGGCUUUUUCUUCAAACUUUCAUGGGGAUUGAGAUGAUUUAGAAAGUCAUGUGCCCACUGGGCUCUCCCAACAGGAAAAGGGUAAAACAGGAGAGCAGGGUGAUGACCUGGCUGUAAUAUAGGAAGACAUAUCUUUAUGCUAGAUUCAUCUACUAGGUGGUUUGAGAUCAAUCAUACAAUUAACUGAGAGCUCAAGGAGUGAGACAGAGACACAGACAUUUUGAUUUGGGUGUGGCACAGGAGACUGGGAAGAUGGAGAGUGGAGGAACCCCUAGAGGGGGACAAAGCAGGCUGCCCCUUGUAGCCCAGGGCCGCAGAGAUGACCCUGACACCAUUCCCAUUGAUGUGGUAGGUCGCAUGGAGUCUGAGAAACAGACCCUUUCACAAGUAUCCCAGAUGACUCUGAGGCACUGCUAAAUUGGAUGGGCAUUGGAAAGCGAUGGAAGUGUGCUGCCUUUCAGGGUAAAAUGCUCUGGGUUAUUUGGCCAUUGCAGACAUUAGCCA
rnacentral:lncRNA from 1 species